rnacentral:rRNA from 1 species
GUCGAGAAUCUUCCGCAAUGCGCGAAAGCGUGACGGAGCGACACCGCGUGAUGGAUGAAGUCCUUCGGGACGUAAACAUCUUUUAUAAAGGAGGAAAUUUUUGACGUUACUUUAUGAAUAAGGGGCUCCCAAUCUCGUGCCAGCAGGAGCGGUAAUACGAGAGCCUCAAGCGUUAUCCGGAAUCAUUGGGCGUAAAGGGUGCGUAGGUGGUUUGAUUAGUCUCCCGUUAAAACUUCGAGCUUAACUCGAAAAGAGCGGGGGAAACGGUCAAACUAGAGUAUGUGAGAGGUGUGUGGAACUCAUGGUGUAGGGGUGAAAUCCGUUGAUAUCAUGGGGAACACCAAAAGCGAAGGCAGCACACUGGCACAUCACUGACACUGAGGCACGAAACCUAAGGUAGCGAAUGGGAUUAGAUACCCGAGUAGUCC